rnacentral:lncRNA from 12 species
AUGGGCACCGUCCCUGACGGGCUUCGCCGCACCAGCCCCCUUCUUUCCCUCUCCGAGGCGGAGGGCAAAUCCCCCCGAGCCUCCUCCGAAGGCGCCUCCACCGGAGCCCGCGCGAGGGCGGACCCACGCCGGGCCGGCCUGCUCACAGAAAGCGGCUCCACAGCUGAGGGAGGAAAACGGCAGCCCGCGAACUCCUCACACCCGGACGCGCCGGCACGGGCGCAGCACCCAGGCCGCCCCCUCCGUCCUCGCGCACACGCGGCAUCCCAGCCGGGCUUACAGGCGAAGAAGAGGGGCCCAGAGACGGCUUCUCGGACCCGAGGAGAUGCUCCCCAGACUCACCGCGGGGACUCCGACACCGCCCUCCUCCACAGCCCGAAACAGUCUACGGCCUCCGCACGCCGCGUCCGGGGGAUGCUUGGCGUCCCCGCCCUCCUCCGCCCCGAGGGAGUUCAGGUGCCCAGACGGGGCGGGGCCUCGCGGAGCCCCACGGCGCAGGCGCAGUCUCCGCGCUACAUUCAACUGCGCGGCGUCAGCCAAUGGGAAAGAGCGCGGGGCAGCCGUUCAAAAGUAAACGGCCGGCGGCGCCUGCGGGGGCGGGGCGGGGCGGGGCGGAAGGGCGGGGCGGGCUCCUGGCCGGGGGCCCGCGUCCUGCACCUGCGCACUAGCCGCCGGCCGCCUCUCGGAGGCGCGGGGGGCGCGCGGCCCGAGGCGCUUCCGGAAGCCGCGGCGUUCGGAUGGGCGGCCCCCGGGCGAGCGAGCGGGGUGGGCCCGGCGGCGGCCGACGACCCCUCCAGGAGCGUUCCGCAGCCUGAUUUUCUUCCUGGCGCGCAGCCGGCAGGUGCGGGUUCCCACCUUUACCUCACAGGUUCCGCCGCGGGACGUCUCCGCCGGCCCCGAGGGCACACGCACCCCGGCGGCGCGCGCGUCCUCCCCGACUCCGAGUUUCCUCGUGGGGGCGAAAUGCGGACGCCUGGACCGGCCAGAGUACGUGACGGGGUGCAGGGGAGGGGGCCUCUGUUCUCUACAGUUUUGGGGAACGUCCUCCGUGGCAGCUGCUGGGACCUCAGGACCCUUCAGGAGCAUCCCUCUCAUCUCCCUCCCUCCUUUUCCAACCUGAAAUGA